rnacentral:rRNA from 1 species
UACGUAGGUGGCAAGCGUUAUCCGGAAUUAUUGGGCGUAAAGCGUACGUAGGCGGCUUUGUAAGUCUGACGUGAAAGCCCACGGCUCAACCGUGGAGAGGCAUUGGAAACUGCAAAGCUUGAGUAUGGUAGAGGUAAGUGGAAUUCCAAGUGUAGCGGUGAAAUGCGUAGAGAUUUGGAAGAACACCAGUGGCGAAGGCGGGUGACUGGGCCAUUACUGACGCUGAGGUACGAAAGCGUGGGGAGCGAACAGG